rnacentral:rRNA from 1 species
GUAACCGGCCUACCAAGGCAAUGACGGGUAGCUGACGUGAGAGCGUGAUCAGCCACAUUGGGACUGAGACACGGCCCAGACUCCUACGGGAGGCAGCAGUGGGGAAUAUUGCGCAAUGAGCGAAAGCUUGACGCAGCGACGCCGCGUGGGGGAGGAAGGCCUUCGGGUCGUAAACCCCUGUCAGAUGGGACGAACCGUAGAUCGGCUAAUACCUGAUCUGCCUGACGGUACCAUCAGAGGAAGCUCCGGCUAACUCCGUGCCAGCAGCCGCGGUAAUACGGAGGGAGCAAGCGUUGUUCGGAAUUAUUGGGCGUAAAGAGCUCGUAGGCGGCUUGUCGCGUCGGUUGUGAAAGCCCGGGGCUUAACCCCGGGUCUGCAGUCGAUACGGGCAGGCUAGAGUUCGGUAGGGGAGACUGGAAUUCCUGGUGUAGCGGUGGAAUGCGCAGAUAUCAGGAGGAACACCGGUGGCGAAGGCGGGUCUCUGGGCAGUAACUGACGCUGAGGAGCGAAAGCGUGGGGAGCGAACAGGAUUAGAUACCCUGGUAGUCCA